rnacentral:lncRNA from 1 species
UUUUCUGUCCAGUAUUUUUGUGAACUACCAUAGGCUUGGAGUAUUUGCAGAACAGAGGAAGUGAAUGGUAGCUGCUAGAGAGUGGCUGCUGAGCACACAAGUGCCACAUGGUGUGUUGGCAUACAGAAUCAGCCUCUUUAAAAGAAGGGACCACAGCAGAAAUGACUCCUUUAAAUAAUUUCAUCUCUUUCCACCAGCUAUAUGCAAAUAGAUUUCUGCACUUGGAGAGCAAAUUAAACAACAAAUAGAGUUAUCCAUCACUGAGUGCAAAAUAUCACAUCAGAAGGAAACCUCUGGCUACCAUUCAUAGCAUAUUAAAAUAUUAAGUCCUGAUAUUUAGGCAGCUGGUAUAAGCUAGAAGCUCAUACAUCAUGCUUGCAAGCCUGGCUUUCAUUACAUAAUAAAUAACACACCAAUAGAGAUGGCAGAAGUAAUAAAAGAUUGAGAAGGUCUAAUGCUGUUCUUACCUUCAGAGCAAACAUUGUUUUGGUCACUCUGCUGAAGCACAAAACUUAAGAAAUAAGUGCUUAGCAAGAGAAGCACUGUUUCAUCCUUUGGUCUGAGCUCUGGCUAAAGUAUUGAUUCUGCAGAAAGAUGCUGAUUUAUUUUAGCACCAGCUGUAAAUGCUUUGAAUUGACUAGAUUCAAUUUGUCAGUGGGACUGGAAAAUGUGUGUGGUGAUGUAACCUUUACUAAAAGAUGUCUAAGUCACAGGUGAGAGUUUACAGAGGGAUGAGGGGGUGGAGGGGAUUCGCCAUUGCUUAAGCAAUGCUUCCUCCCUAAGUAACCAGGUGGUGGAAAAUAGAAAGUGGCAUCUGGAACCCAUUAAAGUCAAUCAAGCUAAGAUCAAGUGAGCAACUCUGAAAAGAGGAUGAACCUGAGAGGAUAGCUACUAGCUUGGGAAGGAAAUGGCAUGGUAAUGAAGAAAAAGGUGAUUGAAAAAGCAGUUGCCGUCCUGGUCCAAGCAGUCUUGGGUGACAAGCACUUCUUUGAUCCAUUUCAAAAUGGCUUCAUAUCAGGAUAUGGAGUUGAGACUGCUAUGGUCACCUUAGUGGAUGAUCUCCAUCUUAACAUGGACAGUGGGGUAUGUGUCCCUGUUGGUGCUUUUAGAUCUCUUGGUAGCUUUCAAUAUCAUCUACCACGGUAUCUUUCUGGAACACCUGGGGUGGUUGCGAUUUGGAGGCACUGUGAAGCAGUGGCUCCAGUCAUACCUCUGAGGCAGGUUCCAAAUGUGGCGCUUGGGGAUAGCUGCUCCUCAGAAAAUGAGCUGUUAUGA